rnacentral:rRNA from 1 species
AGCUCCAAUAGCGUAUAUUAAAGUUGUUGCGGUUAAAAAGCUCGUAGUUGGAUUUCUGUCGAGAAGAGCCGGUCCGCACUAUGUGCGCGCAUCUGGUAUCGUCUUGGCAUCCGGAAGUUUAACACACGUCGCUUCAUUGCGAUGUUGGUAAGCUUCUCUUUUACUUUGAGGAAAUUAGAGUGUUCACGGCAGGCAAUCGCCUUGAAUAUGUUAGCAUGGAAUAAUAAUAUAGGACCUUGGUUCUAUUUUGUUGGUUUCUAGAGCUAAGGUAAUGAUUAAUAGGGAUAAUUGGGGGCAUUCGUAUUAUCACGUCAGAGGUGGAAUUCUUGGAUUGUGUUACGACGAACUACUGCGAAAGCAUUUGCCAAGGAUGUUUUCA